rnacentral:rRNA from 1 species
AUGCCUGUUCGAGCGUCAUUUCAACCCUCAAGCCCCCCGGGUUUGGUGUUGGGGAUCGGCUCUGCCCUUCUGGGCGGUGCCGCCCCCGAAAUACAUUGGCGGUCUCGCUGCAGCCUCCAUUGCGUAUUACCUAACACCUCGCAACUGGAACGCGGCGCGGCCAUGCCGUAA